rnacentral:lncRNA from 10 species
GCCCGGGCCUCGUUGCAUCAUCGUUUUGCUGCUACAUUGCUUGGCUGGGGUCAUUAGAAUACUCGGGAUUUCACCCAAGGUGAUGCAUCAUCAAAGGUAGCUUGCGCAUGGAGCCCAGGUUGCUGGCCUCACCCAGGUUACACAUCCAGCAAAUGGAAGGAUCACUCGCCUCUCUCAUACCGAUGAGAACAAGUGGCAAUGACUUCGUCAUGAUGGAGGUUCAGUGAGGAGCACAAAUCUUUAUAGUGUGAACCUGAUUCAUGGAACUGCAGCGUUGGAGCUUCUGUGAAUUCGCAGAAAGGAACACAUUCUGUCUGUUACCAGGAAAACGGAUCACCUCAAACAGCAUCAGUGAGAGUAAACACGUGCCACUCCAUCGAGCAAAUCGCUGCUGCUUUCUAAGCAAGAGGGUCCCCAGAGUCUUAAGUGCAUCUUACUCACCAAAGUACAUACAGCGGUCCCCUCUUAUCCUUGGGCAAUACGGUCCAAGACCCCCAGCGG